rnacentral:rRNA from 1 species
CAAGUCGAACGAGAAUCCACCUUCUGGGUGGUGGACAGUGGCAGACGGCUGAGUAAUACAUGGGAACCAACCCUAAACUCUGGGAUAGCUCACCGAAAGGUGGGGUAAUAUCAGAUAGUCUGCACGAAUCUUCGGGUUUUGUGUAGUAAAGCUUCGGCGGUUUAGGACGGGCCCAUGGCCUAUCAGGUUGUUGGUGAGGUAAUUGCUCACCAAGUCUAUGACGGGUAGCUGGCCUGAGAGGGUGAACAGCCAGACUGGGACUGCGAUACGGCCCAGACUCCUACGGGAGGCUGCAAUCAGGAAUUGUGCGCAAUGGACGAAAGUCUGACGCCGCGACAUUGCGUGGAGGAUGAAGGCUCUAGGGUCGUAAACUCCUUUUAUUGGGGAACAAGGUUCUGAGUGUACCCAAAGAAUAAGUAGCUGCUAAUCACGUGCCAGAAGCAUCGGUAAUACGUGAGCUACGAGCGUUGUCCGGAAUUACUGGGCGUAAAGAGAUGCGUAGGCGUCUUUUCAAGUCUGUUGUUAAAUGCUCCGGCCUAACCGGAGAAAUGCAACGGAUACUGGAUUGAUUGAGGUAGGUAGAGGAAGAUGGAAUUCCUGGUGGAGCGGUUAAAUGCGUAGAUAUCAGGAGGAACACCAAUGGCGAAGGCAAUCUUCUGGACCUUACCUGACGCUAAGGCUCGAGAGCGUGGGGAGCAAAACGGAUUAGAUACCCGUGUAGUCCACGCUGUAAACGAUCCCUGCUAGGUGUUUGUCUCAUGUUUGUUUUCUCUUCGGAGUUAACAAGCUUUGGGAUGAGUGCCGCAGCUAACGCGUUAAGCAGGGCGCCUGGGGAGUACGGUCGCAAGAUUAAAACUCAAAGGAAUUGACGGGGUCCCGCACAAGCAGUGGAGCGCCUGGUUUAAUUCGAUGAUCAGCGAAGAAUCUCACC